UUUUUGGGCCUAUAAAAGUGUUUCAGGCACAUUCUGAACUACUCUCACUCUGAAAUGGCUGCUGUGGUGUGUGGCAAUGGUUUUUUGUUGGCUGUGGGAUACGUUAGACUGCUCCAUGAGGCUUCCAGGAAUCAGGACCAGGUAAGUGAACAUGGCCAACAGGUUGUCCAGGUACCGCGGAGGCUGCGCCAGCCUCGUUUAUUUAGAGGGCGUUUAAACUUAAAUGCAUUGUCCGAUGAUAGGGUCAUACAGAUGUUCCGCCUAAAUAGAAACAACAUUUUCCACCUGUAUGACCUUGUCAAACUGGGCAUAGACCCUGAGACAGCACGCUCUCGCUCUGUCUCAGGCCUACACAAACUCCUGGCUGUGUUACACUUUAUGGCUACUGGGAGCUUCCAGGCUGUGGCAGGCGACGUCAUUGGGAUCUCACAGCCCACCUUUUCAAGAUAUUUGAUGCAGGUGAGUCUAAAAAUACCUAUGCGGUUAUGGCUAAGUGUUGCUUGUGUAAGUUGAAACACCACAGUAUUGUAGAGAAUACCUAACAUGACACUCACCUUAGCUUAUUUAAUGUCCACUCAGGUUUUGGAUGUGUUGGAGCCACACAUUAAAGCCUCAAUCUGCUUCCCUACUGAGGAGUCGGAGUGGAGUGCUGUCAGGGUAGCUUUCUAUGAGCUUGCAGGCAUGCCCAAUGUGCUUGGGGCCAUAGAUUGCACACACGUUCAGCUGAGAUCACCUAAGGGCCGCCAGUAUAUCUAUACUAAUAGGCAUCUUGAUCAAUCAACUAAUGUCCAGGUGGUCUGUGAUGCAAAAUUAAAAAUUAUGAGUGUUGUUGCAGGUUACCCUGGUGCCUGCCAUGACUCCUUCAUCCUCAGUCAGUCAUCGCUCUUCGAUAAAUUUGAGGAGGGACAAAUGCCUGAUGGCUGGCUGUUGGGUGAUGGGGGUUACGGCUGCUACUCUUGGCUCCUUACUCCAUUGUCCCAACCUGAUUCUCCUGCUGAACACAGUUAUAAUCAUGCACAUAUGGCUACGCGGAAUGUGAUAGAAAGAUGUUUUGGGGUGCUGAAGUCACGUUUUCGGUGUCUUGAUAAAUCUGCUGGCCUUUUGUUGUAUAGUCCCUCAAAGGUGACUAGGAUUGUGUUCUGCUGCUGUUUUCUCCAUAAUCUGUGUUUAAGUCAAGAUCUUGCACAUGGUGAGGGAGAAAUCAGUCAGCAAGCAGAGGAGUUAGAACCAUCUGGUGACAGUGUGAGUACAAAUGUAGGGAGGCAGGUACGGCAACAAGUGAUCCUGCGUUAUUUUUCUGGUAAGUUUUAUUAGGCUGUAAUUAUCCUUCACUAAACACUUUGCUCUACUUUCUAGUGUGUGUUUUGUUACUUACUGUUUGUUGUUUAUAGUGGUGUGUCCAUUGUGCUUAGUUGAUGCUAAAAAAACAUUUACAGUCAUUACCCUUGAAAAACAUAACUCCAUACAUACACACCAGCUUCAUACAUUUUGGAGACGGACACAGGAAUGUGUUUUGUAUUCUAAUUAUUUUAUUUUUGGGUUCAAAAAGUUUACAUUUAUUUUUUUCUCGUGUGUGUGCUUAAUGUAUCCUCAAUUCAUAUAUUUUCAGACAACUAGGUUGUCUAGACCAUCCACUAAGACCUUAUUUUUUUUAAGUAAAGCACCUUGAGCAAUUGAAGACGUAACAUAACAUUGAUUGUUGGGGAAAACAUGUAAACUCCAAACAAACUAACAUCAUCCUUAGUCGACUGUGUAUAUUCUUGCUUAUGUGUUUUGUUUCAAAAUUUAAUCACCAGAUAACUGAGGUGAUCUGGGCUCAUCACUCAGCGAACUCGCCAGUAGUGCCAGUGGUGGCUGGGGUGACACUGCCGAUAGCCUUCGCCUGGGUGGGAAUGAUGGAGGUGCUGAAUCAGAGCCAAGACGCCGGCUCUUAGUUGGCCUCCUGGAAUAUGUGACUACAGUGAAGACUUACCUGCAAUACCGGCAUCAUCAUGACUGGUCUGAGGCCUGUCUGGCCGGCUGGUCUGUGUGACUGUGUAAAAAGUCACACCAACAUUAUUACCCUGUUUUUUUUUAAAGUACCCAGUGAAAACCAUUAAUGUACUGUAAGCAUAUAUUUUGUUUGGUUGCCACAACAAAAUUAAGCUUAAGAGCUUCUAUAUUUGUGAUUUAGAGUUGAAUAUCAAAAUGUACUUCA